UAUCUUGAAGCCUCACUGUAUAUGAAUAUUUCCCUUUGUAAUAAAAAUUGCAACCGGGUGGCCUCCUCUAUCUCCUUAAUAUGGUCUCAAAUUUCAAAGGAAUAUCUUUUCAUCUAUCUUCAAUAAUGGGGAAGAAAGGAGUUCACUCCUCUUAACGCUCCCUGGUCGAAGCAAACAGAGUUUUUUCAUGACAAGCUCAAGGCAUUUACUGUAUAUUUCUACUGAAAGUGCUGCAAAAAAUAAAUAAAAUGUUUAGCUAUCAUUCAUUUUGUGUUUCCUUUCAAUUCUAGUGGAGGAGACUUUUUCUUUGCUGCAGCUGCAAGUUCUGAUGAAGGCUGAUCAAGUGUGAUGGCAGAAUGUACCUGUGGUGUCAUAUCCCACGAUGAGAACAGCAUGGUUGGAGUGCUGGCUGGAACAGUGAUGCUGAAUGAUUCCUCCCUGAUAAUCCUGCCAGCUGACAGCAUCCACGAUAGCAGCCAGAGGACCACACUCUAGCAGCUGACCCAUCAUCGCGGCCUCCUGGCCACUGAGCAACAGUAAAAACAAAGUUUAUCAUACAUAUUUUUGAGGGACAUGCCAUGUCAUUUAAACUGUAGCAGGUUAAAAUCCCUGACUAUUAAUGAGAUGUCAAAACUGUUUUGGUUUUGAAAAGCUGCACUUACAUGUUCUUAUUUUUCCAAAGGACUUUAGUUUCAUGAACAACAUUGUUGCUUUCAUUUAUUGGAUCAUUAAAUUAUUAUUGUGCCAGACUUACAGGACAUAUAUGGACCACAGAAGGUCACUGUAAACUUGGUGUCUUGUUAAACCUUGCGAAACUAUCAUGUCCUGAACUGUUUUCCCAGUUAAAUAUAUUUAUCUGAACUUUAAACCUUUGAGUCUGACAUGUGUCAUGCAACAACAGCCUGGUGAACUCUAUGACCCAGCUCUGUGACAUCGUCUCAGUAGUUUCACAUUAUAUCGACAGUCAAGUCAGUUAAUUAUGACUCAGUCGCAACAAUGAAAACUUCUACUAAGUUACAUGUCAUUUCCAAAAAAAAACAUUAUAUUGAUGAUAAUUAUUUAAAUAAUUUCAUUAAUUCCUGUUAUCUAUUUGAAUAUGGACAUAGACACAAUAUAAUACAGUUUUUCUUUUAAUUAUUGAGCAAAAAUACUUUUCCAGGGAAAAAUUGCCUUUUUCCCUACUAUUUUAAUCACUUUAGGAGUUUUUGCUUAACCUGUAAAAGUAUUUUUAACCUACUUUUGACUACUUUAUUGCUGACAGAUUUGUUUUACUGAGCCCUCACUGUUGUUAAUGUGAAACUUAUAAACUUUCCACAUUAAAAUUGUGUUUAAAGAUA